CCUACGGGGGGCAGCAGUGGGGAAUAUUGGACAAUGGGGGCAACCCUGAUCCAGCCAUGCCGCGUGUGUGAAGAAGGCCCUCGGGUUGUAAAGCACUUUCAGUGAGGAAGAACGCCUGGUGGUUAAUACCCAUCAAGAAAGACAUCACUCACAGAAGAAGCACCGGCUAACUCCGUGCCAGCAGCCGCGGUAAUACGGAGGGUGCGAGCGUUAAUCGGAAUUACUGGGCGUAAAGCGCGCGUAGGUGGCUUGAUAAGCCGGUUGUGAAAGCCCCGGGCUCAACCUGGGAACGGCAUCCGGAACUGUCAAGCUAGAGUGCAGGAGAGGAAGGUAGAAUUCCCGGUGUAGCGGUGAAAUGCGUAGAGAUCGGGAGGAAUACCAGUGGCGAAGGCGGCCUUCUGGACUGACACUGACACUGAGGUGCGAAAGCGUGGGUAGCAAACAGGAUUAGAUACCCUGGUAGUC
rnacentral:rRNA from 1 species